UCCAGGGUAGCCUAGUGGACAUGGCAUCUGCCCAGUAAGCGGAACACUGUGGGUUCGUUUCCCAUCCCUGAAC